rnacentral:rRNA from 1 species
CCGGACUGCCAUCGGAAUGUAUAUAAGCCAUGUGAGUCAUUGUAGCAAUACAAGGCAGACGGCUCAGUAACACGUAGUCAAUCUACCCUAUUGACGGGGAUAACCUCGGGAAACUGAGAAUAAUACCCGAUAGGCCAUUAUGCCUGGAAUGGUUUAUGGCUGAAAUGAUUUAUCGCAAUAGGAUGGGACUGCGGCCUAUCAGUUUGUUGGUGAGGUAAUGGCCCACCAAGGCUAUUACAGGUACGGGCUCUGAGAGGAGAAGCCCGGAGAUGGGUACUGAGACACGGACCCAGGCCCUAUGGGGCGCAGCAGGCGAGAAAACUUUGCAAUGUGCGAAAGCACGACAAGGUUAAUCCGAGUGGUUUCUGCUAAAGGAACCUUUUGUCGGUCCUAGAAACACCGAUGAAUAAGGGGUGGGCAAGUUCUGGUGUCAGCCGCCGCGGUAAAACCAGCACCUCAAGUUGUCAGGAUGAUUAUUGGGCCUAAAGCAUCCGUAGCCGGCUCUGUUAGUUUUCGGUUAAAUCUGUACGCUUAACGUACAGGCUGCCGGGAAUACUGCAGAGCUAGGGAGUGGGAGAGGUAGACGGUACUCGGUAGGAAGGGGUAAAAUCCUUUGAUCUAUUGAUGACCACCUGUGGCGAAGGCGGUCUACCAGAACACGUCCGACGGUGAGGGAUGAAAGCUGGGGGAGCAAACCGGAUUAGAUACCCGGGUAGUCCCAGCUGUAAACUAUGCAAACUCAGUGAUGCAUUGGCUUGUGGCCAAUGCAGUGCUGCAGGGAAGCCGUUAAGUUUGCCGCCUGGGAAGUACGUACGCAAGUAUGAAACUUAAAGGAAUUGGCGGGGGAGCACCACAAGGGGUGAAGCCUGCGGUUC